UAGAACGCGAACGUUAACGAAUAAAACAAGGAUGGUGGAUAAAACACAAGAAUGCUGGAAUUUAGUUUGUUGGCAACAAGUGAAUGUCAAACAUGUUAGAACAAAAUUGUGAGAUAUUGCUUUCGGUGAUUAUUAUCGAUAAGGUGCAUUAGAUUUUUGGGUAUAUACAUAAUAGUAAAGUGAAAUUAUUGUGUGAAAACAAUGAAACAGUUUCUACUAAAUGGUACAUAAACAAAUGACAUUAGAUGAAAUAAGGAGCACAUUUCAUGUUGAUCAUCACGACGAUGUUCCUGAAUACGAAAUAAUUCAUAUUCACCACGACAAUAAACGAAGUCUUGUUCCAAAUUCAAACAGUAAUAAAAUCAAUAGUGAAAAUGAUGAUAAAACAAAUUCAAAACAUGAUGAAUCAUCAGCAUUAAAUGACAAGAAACAUACAAAAAUAAGACUGAACGCAUUUGGAAGGCCCUUAAAUUUAACCCUGGUUAAAAAUGAAAAUCUCAUUAAAAAGGACGGACUCAAAGUGUGGACCAUUGAACCUAAUAACACUGCCCAGCAUGGACUUGAAUAUGUUGAAAUACCAGAGGUAAGA